rnacentral:rRNA from 1 species
GACGAACGCUGGCGGCGUGCUUAACACAUGCAAGUCGAACGGAAAGGCCCCCACCUUGGUGGGGGUGCUCGAGUGGCGAACGGGUGAGUAACACGUGGGUGAUCUGCCCUGUACUUCGGGAUAAGCUUGGGAAACUGGGUCUAAUACCGGAUAGGACCAUGGUUUAGUGUCUCAUGGUGGAAAAAUUAUUGUUUUGGUGCAGGAUGAGCUCGCGGCCUAUCAGCUUGUUGGUGGGGUAAUGGCCUACCAAGGCGUCGACGGGUAGCCGGCCUGAGAGGGUGGACGGCCACAUUGGGACUGAGAUACGGCCCAGAGUCCUACGGGAGGCAGCAGUGGGGAAUAUUGCACAAUGGGCGCAAGCCUGAUGCAGCGACGCCGCGUGGGGGAUGACGGCCUUCGGGUUGUAAACUCCUUUCGUUAGGGACGAAGCCACACCUUUUUUGGGUGUGGUGACGGUACCUUUGUUAAGAAGCACCGGCUAACUACGUG